rnacentral:rRNA from 1 species
UAGGGAAUCUUCGGCAAUGGACGGAAGUCUGACCGAGCAACGCCGCGUGAGUGAAGAAGGUUUUCGGAUCGUAAAGCUCUGUUGUUAGAGAAGAACGUUGGUAGGAGUGGAAAAUCUACCAAGUGACGGUAACUAACCAGAAAGGGACGGCUAACUACGUGCCAGCAGCCGCGGUAAUACGUAGGUCCUGAGCGUUGUCCGGAUUUAUUGGGCGUAAAGCGAGUGCAGGCGGUUCUUUAAGUCUGAAGUUAAAGGCAGUGGCUUAACCAUUGUACGCUUUGGAAACUGGAGGACAUGAGUGCAGAAGGGGAGGGUGGAAGUCCAUGUGUAGCGGUGAAAUGCGUAGAUAUAUGGAGGAACACCGGUGGCGAAAGCGGCUCUCUGGUCUGUAACUGACGCUGAGGCUCGAAAGCGUGGGGAGCAAACAGG